rnacentral:rRNA from 1 species
GUACCUGUAGAAUAAGCUCCGGCUAACUACGUGCCAGCAGCCGCGGUAAUACGUAGGGAGCAAGCGUUAUCCGGAUUUAUUGGGUGUAAAGGGUGCGUAGACGGGAAAUUAAGUUAGUUGUGAAAUCCCUCGGCUUAACUGAGGAACUGCAACUAAAACUGGUUUUCUUGAGUGCUGGAGAGGAAAGUGGAAUUCCUAGUGUAGCGGUGAAAUGCGUAGAUAUUAGGAGGAACACCAGUGGCGAAGGCGACUUUCUGGACAGUAACUGACGUUGAGGCACGAAAGUGUGGGGAGCAAACAGGAUUAGAUACCCUGGUAGUCCACACCGUAAACGAUGGAUACUAGGUGUAGGGUGUGAUAAACAUUCUGUGCCGUCGCAAACGCCAUAAGUAUCCCACCUGGGGA